UAAGAAAACAAGGGUGUGGAGACACCAGA
rnacentral:piRNA from 1 species